rnacentral:rRNA from 1 species
GACGAACGCUGGCGGCGUGCUUAACACAUGCAAGUCGAGCGGUAAGGCCCUUUCGGGGGUACGACGAGCGGCGAACGGGUGAGUAACACGUGGGUGACCUGCCCUCAGCUCUGGGAUAAGCCUGGGAAACCGGGUCUAAUACUGGAUAUGACUCCAUGACGCAUGUUGUGGGGUGGAAAGCCUUGUGCGGCUGAGGAUGGGCCCGCGGCCUAUCAGCUUGUUGGNGGGAUGAUGGCCUACCAAGGCGACGACGGGUAGCCGGCCUGAGAGGGCGACCGGCCACACUGGGACUGAGACACGGCCCAGACUCCUACGGGAGGCAGCAGUGGGGAAUCUUGCGCAAUGGGCGAAAGCCUGACGCAGCGACGCCGCGUGAGGGAUGACGGCCU